AAAAGUUGAAUGAGAGUGAGAAGAAGGAUGAGAAAGGAAAAGCCAUGGUUGAAAGAAAAGAAAAAAAGAGAAAGAAAGUGAAAAUAAAGAAAGAAAAGAAAAAGAAAAAGAGAAGGUUAAGGAAGGAGAAAAUUAAGCAAAAGAGGAGGAGAGGAAAGAAGAAAAGAUCAUAUGAAAAGCCUCUUCCUCGUCAAAAGAAGAAUCAUAGGAAGGAAAAGAAGUUCAAGUACUUUAUGGAGAUCUUCAAGAAAUUGGAGAUUAAAGUUCCUAUGAUUGAUACAUGGAAACAUGUGCU
rnacentral:lncRNA from 1 species